GAUGAACGCUGGCGGCGUGCCUAAUACAUGCAAGUCGAGCGAACAGACGAGGAGCUUGCUCCUCUGACGUUAGCGGCGGACGGGUGAGUAACACGUGGAUAACCUACCUAUAAGACUGGGAUAACUUCGGGAAACCGGAGCUAAUACCGGAUAAUAUAUUGAACCGCUUGGUUCAAUAGUGAAAGACGGUUUUGCUGCCACUUAUAGAUGGAUCCGCGCCGCAUUAGCUAGUUGGUAAGGUAACGGCUUACCAAGGCAACGAUGCGUAGCCGACCUGAGAGGGUGAUCGGCCACACUGGAACUGAGACACGGUCCAGACUCCUACGGGAGGCAGCAGUAGGGAAUCUUCCGCAAUGGGCGAAAGCCUGACGGAGCAACGCCGCGUGAGUGAUGAAGGUCUUCGGAUCGUAAAACUCUGUUAUUAGGGAAGAACAAAUGUGUAAGUAACUAUGCACGUCUUGACGGUACCUAAUCAGAAAGCCACGGCUAACUACGUG
rnacentral:rRNA from 1 species